GACGAACGCUGGCGGCGUGCUUAACACAUGCAAGUCGAGCGAUGAAGCCGGAGCUUGCUCCGGUGGAUUAGUGGCGAACGGGUGAGUAACACGUGAGCAAUCUGCCCUUGACUCUGGGAUAACUGCGGGAAACUGUAGCUAAUACCGGAUACGACACCUUGGGGCAUCCCAGGGUGUGGAAAGAAUUUCGGUCAAGGAUGAGCUCGCGGCCUAUCAGCUAGUUGGUGAGGUAAUGGCUCACCAAGGCGACGAAGGGUAGCCGGCCUGAGAGGGUGACCGGCCACACUGGAACUGAGACACGGUCCAGACUCCUACGGGAGGCAGCAGUGGGGAAUAUUGCACAAUGGGCGAAAGCCUGAUGCAGCAACGCCGCGUGAGGGAUGAAGGCCUUCGGGUUGUAAACCUCUUUUAGUAGGGAAGAAGCGAAAGUGACGGUACCUGCAGAAAAAGCACCGGCUAACUACGUGCCAGCCGCCGCCGUAA
rnacentral:rRNA from 1 species